rnacentral:rRNA from 1 species
UACGUAGGGUGCGAGCGUUAAUCGGAAUUACUGGGCGUAAAGCGUGCGCAGGCGGUUUUGUAAGGCAGACGGGAAAGCCCCGGGCUUAACCUGGGAAUGGCAUUUGGGACUGCAUAGCUAGAGUACGGCAGAGGGGGGUGGAAUUCCGCGUGUAGCAGUGAAAUGCGUAGAGAUGCGGAGGAACACCGAUGGCGAAGGCAGCCCCCUGGGCUAACACUGACGCUGAAGCACUAAAGCGUGGGGAGCAAACAGG